ACGUAUCCAUGACAGUCUAUCGGCUGUAAGCAUAGACACCGGACACGGUGGGAAAGCAACAGGAAAAAUCACUUACUGCCGGCAAAUACUGUUCCAUUAUUGCGAGGGAUCGUCCGCGCGGGGGUCUGUGUUUCUCUCACAAGUGGUUACGAUGAAUUAAUCCGACGCUCACAUACUGUGACUUUGGAGGAAGCCGUGACGAGAAGCUGAGACGAUGGUGGACACGGCGGGGAACAAGGCAGCGGCGCUGGUGACGAUGGCGGUGAUAACCAUUGCCGCGGCGCUCGUCCCCCUCUACGUCCGCAAGAUGCUGAAGGGCCGCAUGCACCUGCCCCGCACGCAGAGGGCGCUGAGCGGGUGCCUGUGCUUCGGCGCGGGCGUGCUCAUGGCGACGGUGUUCCUGCACCUUCUCCCCGAAGCCCGGAUGUUCGUGAACGACGCCAUGCAGGGGGGCUUCCUGCCGCCCACGCCUUACCCAGUGGCAGAGCUCAUCGUCUGCGUGGGGUUCAUCAUCAUCUACAUCAUUGAGGACGUGGUGCACACCUGCGUCAGAAGGUCGUCCCGCGGCAACAAGGACCUGGAGAUGAAAGGGAAAAAGGCACAAGACAAGGACGCCAGGCAUGACAACGCAGAGGAAGGGAGUAAAUCAAGAAAACAAGAUGAAGUGGACGAGAGCUUCCAGCACCUCAUGGAGGGCCAUGCGGAGCACAGAUCGGAGCCCGGGGGCCAUUCCCACGAGCACGGCCUCACCCAGGGGAUCUCCCUCCUGCGCGCUGUCAUCGUGGUGGUGGCGUUCUCCUUCCACAGCGUGAUGGAGGGCUUAGCCCUCGGCCUGCAGGAGACGUCGGCGGGCGUGUGGUUCCUCUUCGCCGCCCUCAUGGCCCACAAGGUCUUCAUCGCCUUCUGCUUGGGCAUGGAGCUCCUGGAGGUCGGGUAUCCCUGGUUCCGUUCGUGGUGUCCAUGACCAUCUUCUCGCUCUCGUCGCCCGUCGGAGGGGCGAUGGGCGCGCUGGUGCUGUCCCUGUCCACAGAGGAGACCACGGCAGGCGUGCUGGUGCCCACCUUCCUGCAGGGGAUCUCCGCUGGCACCAUCCUGUACGUGACCUUCUGCGAGGUCCUGGAGAGAGAGAGAGCCAAGCCCGACGGCGGCCCCGUGCGCCUGGUGUGCUUCAUCAUCGGGUUUGCGUUCAUGUCCGGCUUGCAGGUGCUGGACGAGGCGGGCAACAAGCUGGCGUCCUCGCUCACUGCCCCCGCGGCCAACAGCUCGCUCGCUUAGGCUCCGUUCUUCAAGCUGAUGACACGUGUACUUAGUAGGUUGUGCCUACUGCUUCCGUACUGUUCUAAACCCCUUUUUUAACACUAAUCAACUGUCAAUAUUUUGUACAAUAUAUCUUGGCCAUUGCUAAUGCCACUGCCAUCACCAUCUGGCGUGGUGUGUCCGAAGCGUUCCAAAGGCGGCGGGAUGGUGUAACUGGCUCUGCCACUAAUUAUAUACAUCUUUAAAGGCAUCAUUGUUAUUUUAGCACUAUUAUUAACACUGCAUUCAGUAGCUCAACAUCAUCAGCUCUAAAAAGUCUGACGCACUAGCCAGAAGUUCAAGGAUUUGAUUUGAUAAGUUCAUUACGUCUAGGUUUGGAGAACUUCACAAAGGAGGAGAUGGAACUGAAGCGGUUCAGUGAAGCGGUUCAGUGAUAUAUUGUGAUGUAAUGGAACACGAACUCCAUUGCUUUCGUGAAGGUCUACAUUCCCAUUCACAUCACUCCUGCAGACGUCGUGACGAUCUCCCCUGACAAUGUAAGUCUCGAAACACUUAUGCUGCGGCCUCGGUCUUUGUUGACGAAUCUUUGUACAUUUGUCAGUGACUUUAGACUUAUUAUAAUAAACAUCCCAUUCCUUUUUCCCUAAUAAUAAGACGCCAAUCUCUGGUGCCGUGAAGGAGCUUGGUGUGUAACCUAGUUAUCGUUAUCCGCGUUAUCUUUAAACAUUUCAACUUUGUAUUUUCAAGUAUGUACUCAUUCCUCUUUUUUUUACUGAUAAGAUCUGUUGUACGUAAGGUUAUGGUUGUACGACACCUUGGGAACUGUAAGUGACCACAGGUUUCGCGUUCCUAUAUAUACAACACACGCACACACGUGUGUGUGCGUCUAUAUCUGUGAUGUGUAUGCGUGUACAUAAACAACUCUUUGGUAAUACGUAAAAUAAAAUAUUUGAUACAGUUAAAACCUAAAA